rnacentral:rRNA from 1 species
ACGCACGCUGGCGGCGUGCUUAACACAUGCAAGUCGUACGGUAAGGCCCUUUCGGGGGUACACGAGUGGCGAACGGGUGAGUAACACGUGAGUAACCUGCCCACAACUUUGGGAUAACGCUAGGAAACUGGUGCUAAUACUGGAUAUGUGCUCCUGCUGCAUGGUGGGGGUUGGAAAGCUCCGGCGGUUGUGGAUGGACUCGCGGCCUAUCAGCUUGUUGGUGGGGUAGUGGCCUACCAAGGCGGCGACGGGUAGCCGGCCUGAGAGGGUGACCGGCCACAUUGGGACUGAGAUACGGCCCAGACUCCUACGGGAGGCAGCAGUGGGGAAUAUUGCACAAUGGGCGCAAGCCUGAUGCAGCAACGCCGCGUGCGGGAUGACGGCCUUCGGGUUGUAAACCGCUUUCAGCAGGGACGAAGCUUUUUGUGACGGUACCUGCAGAAGAAGCACCGGCUAACUACGUG